GUUGGUGUUAUGUUAAGGUUAAUCAUCCACGUCUGGUACAACUCUUUCUUUUUUGCAGGAUCUGGGAAAGUGUGUAAGCUUAUGCCAUGUGAACUCCGAGUUGAACAUCCGUACGCUUGACAAGUCAUUUUGAUACUGAAUAUACGAUAUGCCAUGCUUGUUUUUUGGCUUUGUGGUAUUCAGAUAUUUUAUUCAAAUAUACUCAUCACGUGACAAUUUGUAUCGGAGAUGCCGUCAAAAUGGCGAUAAGUCGAGAAGUGAUAGUGGGAUUUUAAUUUUUAUUUUAAUCACUUAUCUAGAAGAAUUGAACAAUAAUUUUAAUGAAUAUAUGAUUAUUUAUAUCAAAUAAACAUAAUAUAAAAUUUUCAUUUUUUUGCGAAGUUUCCCUUUAA
rnacentral:lncRNA from 1 species